CACGUAAGUUGCGAGCGUUGUUCGGAAUUAUUGGGCGUAAAGGGUAUGUAGGCGGCUGUGAAAGCUUGGUGUGAAAGACAGGGGCUCAACCCCUGGACUGCAUUGAGAACUGCACGGCUAGAAUUACUGAAGGGCAGCCAGAAUUCCAGGUGUAGGGGUGAAAUUUGUAGAUAUCUGGAAGAAUACCAAUGGCGAAGGCAGGCUGCUGGCAGAUGAUUGACGCUGAGGUACGAAAGUGCGGGGAGCAAAC
rnacentral:rRNA from 1 species